rnacentral:rRNA from 1 species
AUUGAACGCUGGCGGCAGGCCUAACACAUGCAAGUCGAGCGGAUGAAGGGAGCUUGCUCCUGGAUUCAGCGGCGGACGGGUGAGUAAUGCCUAGGGAUCUGCCUGGUAGUGGGGGAUAACGUCCGGAAACGGGCGCUAAUACCGCAUACGUCCUGAGGGAGAAAGUGGGGGAUCUUCGGACCUCACGCUGUCAGAUGAGCCUAGGUCGGAUUAGCUAGUUGGUGGGGUAAAGGCCUACCAAGGCGACGAUCCGUAACUGGUCUGAGAGGAUGAUCAGUCACACUGGAACUGAGACACGGUCCAGACUCCUACGGGAGGCAGCAGUGGGGAAUAUUGGACAAUGGGCGAAAGCCUGAUCCAGCCAUGCCGCGUGUGUGAAGAAGGUCUUCGGAUUGUAAAGCACUUUAAGUUGGGAGGAAGGGCAGUAAGUUAAUACCUUGCUGUUUUGACGUUACCAACAGAAUAAGCACCGGCUAACUUCGUG